UGCACAGUGUCCCCUGCACAGGAAAUUGCUUCAUUCACAGAGCGAAGCACCUGAAUUGCCAUCUGCAACAGUCUCUUCUUUAGCUGGAACAGGAUGUGGCUCUAAACGAAAUACAGGCGAGCGGGCUGUGCAAUGGGCUGAGGUUCUUUUUCUGAGGUCUGGGAAGCUCCAGCUACUGCAGCCAUGGGUGCCCUGAACAGAGCAGAACCUCAGCUGCAUGCAACAGGGGGGAGCUCCCACGGGACUGCAGCCCUGUCUUCAGUGGGAUUUUAGCUUCUAGAGUAGCUGUGCUGCAGCAACCCUCCAGUGUAGAUACACUUUACAUCAGCUCAGCAUGAUUCCAAGCCAGUGCAAACCCCCAUGCACAAAUGCAAGUUGUGUCCACACACGGGGACUGCACAGGAGGCUCAAACCUUAGUGCACUUAUGGCUGAAAAGCGAGGUCAAGAGAUGCAUUCCUGCAAUGCUGCACAGUGUUAGCUGGUUCAGGAGGAGUGAAAGGAGUUUGCUGCUGUGAAAUGCCUGCGCUUACUGGGUUUCAAGGGCAAAUGCAGGAUGAAUAAUCCUAGUUUGUAGAGUGUGGGCUGGGUAUGUGGACAUGCCUAGGCUUGUUUCGUGUUCAUUUGCUUUCAGUGUAUCUGGGUGCCUUUCUGAGCUGUUACAUCAGAUGCUUUAAUGAUCUCCAGCAGAGGAGAAGAAAAGUAAAGACCAUCAGCAGCUUUUCUCAUUGCUGGUGAAGUGUAGGGAGCAAAGCUUAGGUACCACAUGAUGUGAGCAGUGACUGAGACAGCUGCCCCACGCCAGCCUGCCAUCGUGGCUCCAUCUAAGGCUGAGAGACUAGCUCAGGGUCCAUUCACAUUAAGCCUCAGUCUCCCCUCUGAGCCUGCCAGCAAGGGAGCUAACUAGUGCCCGUUGUAGCAGUGGGUUUGUGAUGGGCAUGUAGGUGCCACUGACUAGUCCUGCUGACCUGGGCUGAAUCUGAACCUGUGACCACGGGCAAAAUCUCAUUCCCAGCCCCUGAAUUCCCCAGCCCGGAAAUAAAGGGCCAUGGUCCUGCUUCUUUGUCUUUGAGAGAAGAAGGGCAACCACACGCAUUCCGCCCCAGCUGGCACCAGGCUGGGCAGAGGCCUUAGAGAAGGAUGUUUUCUAGCGAUGGUGAGAAGAUUUCGCCAGCUUGCUAGGACUAGGAUCUGAGACAGCACUCCCUGUGGGUAAUUCACAUGCAUAGCUUCUCCGGUCGGAAGGGAGCAUUUCGAUCAUCAGCUCCGACCUCCUGCGUCACACAGGCUGUAGGACUUCCCUGAAUUCCUUCUCAUUUUAUCAACAGCCAUCUUGGCUUAAAAAUUGCCCAUGGUGGAGAAUCCACAACGACCCUUGGUAAAUUGUUCCAGUGGUUAAUUGCCAUUGGUGCUUAUUUCUAGUCUGAAUUUGUCUAGCUUCAGCUACCAGCCUUGUUAGACCUCUGUCUGCUACAUUAAAGAGCCCCCUAUUACCAAACUUCUGUUACACUUGUAGGUACUCAUAAACUAUGAUCUAGUCACCCCUUAACCUUCUCUUUGUUAAACUCAACAGGUUGAGCCCCUGGAAUCUUUCACUAUGAGGCAGGUUUUCCAAUCUUUAAUCAUUCUUGUGGCUCUUCUCUGAAUCCUCUCCACUGUAUCAACAUCCUUCCUGAAAUGUGGACCCCAGAACUGGACAGAGUAUUCGAGCAGUGGUCGCCCCAGUGCCAAAUCCAGGGGGAAUAUGAUAACAGGAAGCUUUCUAGUAUUUGCUGCCGGUGAAGGAUUAAGAACAACAGCUAAUCUACUGUGUGUCACAGGGUAAAUAACCCAGUGCUCAUGGCCUGUCUUCUGUCACUGUCAGUACGCCAUUGCUUUGGAAUAGAUGAUGCAUGUCUUUGGGACAGCAAGUCAUAUGCCAAGUUUCCACAGAUGGGGAAACCGAAGCACAGAUCAAUGCUAUGAUACGCACGAGGCCACAGAUGGAGACACUGUCAGAGUGGAAGUAGGACUCAAGGGCUCAUCUGUGGUGUUUAUGGAGGAUCUAAUGAGAGACCUUGCAGUGACCACGUUUGUGUUUUAAGGACACAGUGCCUUCAGGAUGCUGCGAAGCUCCUUGCUAAAUGUGCUGGCGGUUUCAUUGCAGACAGGAGUAGCACGAUACAGGAAAUGGGCUUCUGAAGGAAAAGCAAACAGAGUUUACCAGGGAGGAAAACCAAGGAGGAAUUCCAAACUGUUUGUCGGGGUUUGGAAACCGUGAUGCCAUCAGAGUCUUCCUCAGUGGGUCUGCCCUGGAAAGAAGGGAGAAGGCUGGAGCAACAAGAGAGCCUCUUGUAGGCCUGAUGUUUGCAAGCCUCCUGAUCUACUCACUGAAGCUCUCUUACCUGCUACCGGAAGAGACUAAUCAUGAGCAGUCUCUGCAGCUCACACUAGAUCAGGUGCAGCAAAGUCCACUGUGGCUCUGUCUACACUUGGAAAAGGACCCCAAAUCAGCUUCCUUGCCCUCCCUCCACUGUGUGUUGGGCAGGGUUCAGCUGCUAGUAUGGAUGGGACCAAGCUAAUCUAAACAUCAUUCUGGAAAGCACGAUUGAGACCACGUUUCAGACAAUGAGCUCUAUAGAAGGGCAAAGGAUAUUAUCCUGGACAUACACAGCCUAGCUCAUUGCAAUGUGAAUUUAGGAUCAUGUAAAAUGUACAUUCAGCUUUAAGAAAAGGCAUUAGAAAGCGGUUGGAUUUCAUUGCUCACCGCCUACCUGUGCGGCUGUUAUCAUUUGCCAGACACCCAUGUGCUAGUUCCAUAUGUCUACACAGCAAAUCCAGGAGUGAUUGUCCCACCGGUCGGCAUACCUGUGCUGGCUUUAAUCUAGCUGGAGUGGGCAAUAAUAGGAAAGCAGGGAUGGCCACCUCAGUGCAGACCUGCCUGGUACCCUGGCUCUGUACUCAGCCUGUGCUGAUGUCUGCUCCAUUGCAUCUUCAUUACCACUGUUACCCGCGUCAGCUAGAUUAAAGCCUUGUGCUACCAGCACACCUCCCAGUGUUUGACAACCCACAGACAAAUAAAAGGGACAGGGGCUGACCGUGCUGGAACCCAGUCCUUCAAACAUUUCUCAUGGGCGUAACUGAAGGAUGGGACUUGGACUUCAACGUGAGGCCUCACAUACUUCAAUAGGAGUGUGUUUGCAGGAUCGGGGCCUUAGCAGAGACGUGAUGAGACAAGGAAAGAGACACAGGGAGGAAACAGGCCACACAACAGCACCCAAGAUGGGGAGGCUGUGGUGGAGAGACUCCCCACUACAGAGGGAUUAACGAGAUCCAUGUCAAUAUAGCUAGGAGAAUUCACCUAGGAAACUUGUCUCAGUUCUCUGAGGACAGGACAAAGUGGCACCACAUGGAUGAGUGAGGAAAAACCAUCUGAGGAUGAAAAGACGCAAUCCCAGAAGCAUCGGUACUGAAGUAUUUUCAGAUGAGCAAAGAGCUUCAGAUCUCAGUCGACAGGCACUCCUGUGGGCCAGGAUUAUGUGGGGGUUGAACCCCCAUCACAGGGAAGCUGCUGGGGUCUCCUGACUCCAGCAUCUACCCUUACAGGGGCCAUGUCGGAAACAUGGGUUAAUGUGACAUUAUUGAUAUAAUCUGGGACCAUAUAGAACAUGGUUGCAACCAAGGUCCUGUAGUGGCACCAAAUCUUAUGUAAAGGGGGUCAUAUAAGGUGUCUAAGACCAGGUUAUGGGUUGCUGGUUAUAAUUAUGCUGUCUAAAUGUAUGUAUCUUUUUGUGAUUGAAGUUAUAAGUAUUGGCUCUAUACUGUCUGUAUUUCAAACUUGUGCUGUGCUUAUGGGAAACAUCCCAGACAAGUUGGUGUUAGCUCUGCCUAGCCUGCUUGAUGGCCCAUUAAGGACCAUCAGCUACACAACUGACCCACUGAAAGAAGGCAGAUACGCCUUGUAACUCAGCAAAGUAUGCAGGGACAUGCCCAUGUGACUCCAGACUCCAUUUUGCUGUUAUUUUCCACAGUAAGGACAAAGAGGUUCUUACACCUGGAAAAGCCUAUAUAAGGCUGAUGCCUCAUCUCCAUCUUGUCUUCAAUCCUGUUUCUACCUCUGGAGGGACUUUGCUACAAACUGAAGCUCUGAACAAAGGACUGAUGACCCAUCCCAGCUGUGGAUGUACUUCAGAGACUUGAUUUGAACCUGCAGUUUACUCCAUCACUGCUACAAGCCUGAACUAAGAACUUUGCCAUUACUGUAUGUAAUUGAUUCCAUUUAACCAAUUCUGGCUCUCAUCUCUAUCUUUUUCCUUUUAUGAAUAAACCUUUAGAUUUUA